UCGGCGUACCAGUUCAAGUCUGGUAUCUUCCUCCAAUUUAAUGUAUCGGUGACAGAAAUGGAUAUGUGCCUGUCUGCAAAACAGGUUUAUGAG
rnacentral:tRNA from 1 species